rnacentral:rRNA from 1 species
CUGCCGUAUACUGGGGGAUAACACUUAGAAAUAGGUGCUAAUACCGCAUAAGCGCACAGCUUCGCAUGAAGUGGUGUGAAAAACUCUGGUGGUGUACGAUGGUUCCGCGUCUGAUUAGCUUGUUGGUGGGGUAAUGGCUCACCAAGGCGACGAUCAGUAGCCGGCCUGAGAGGGUGAACGGCCACAUUGGGACUGAGACACGGCCCAAACUCCUACGGGAGGCAGCAGUGGGGAAUAUUGCACAAUGGGGGAAACCCUGAUGCAGCGACGCCGCGUGGGUGAAGAAGUAUUUCGGUAUGUAAAGCUCUAUCAGCAGGGAGGAAAAUGACGGUACCUGAUUAAGAAGCCCCGGCUAACUACGUGCCAGCAGCCGCGGUAAUACGUAGGGGGCAAGCGUUAUCCGGAUUUACUGGGUGUAAAGGGAGCGUAGACGGCAGCGCAAGUCUGAAGUGAAAUGCCGGGGCUUAACCCCGGAACUGCUUUGGAAACUGUGCAGCUAGAGUGCAGGAGAGGUAAGUGGAAUUCCUAGUGUAGCGGUGAAAUGCGUAGAUAUUAGGAGGAACACCAGUGGCGAAGGCGGCUUGCUGGACUGUAACUGACGUUGAGGCUCGAAAGCGUGGGGAGCAAACAGGAUUAGAUACCCUGGUAGUCCACGCUGUAAACGAUGA